rnacentral:rRNA from 1 species
AGAUACCCCUGUAGUCCAGGGUGUAAACGCUGCAGACUUGGUGUUGGGGCCCUUUGGGGGCAUUCAGUGCCGGAGAGAAGUUGUUAAGUCUGCUACUUGGGGAGUACGUCCGCAAGGAUGAAACUUAAAGGAAUUGGCGGGGGAGCACCGCAACGGGAGGAGCGUGCGGUUUAAUUGGAUUCAACACCGUAAACUCACCAGGGAAGACUGUUACAUGAAGGCCGAGAUGAAGACUCUGCCAGAUUUUCAG